GAUGAACGCUGGCGGCGUGCUUAACACAUGCAAGUCGAACGAAACACCUUAUUUGAUUUUCUUCGGAACUGAAGAUUUGGUGAUUGAGUGGCGGACGGGUGAGUAACUCGUGGGUAACCUGCCCUGUACAGGGGGAUACCAGUCAGAAAUGACUGCUAAUACCGCAUAAUACCACAGCACCGCAUGGUGCAGGGGUGAAAACUCCGGUGGUACAGGAUGGACCCGCGUCUGAUUAGCUGGGUGGUGAGGUAACGGCUCACCAAGGCGACGAUCGGGAGCCGGCUUGAGAGAGUGAACGGCCACAUUGGGACUGAGACACGGCCCAAACUCCUACGGGAGGCAGCAGUGGGGAAUAUUGCACAAUGGGGGAAACCCUGAUGCAGCGACGCCGCGUGAGUGAAGAAGUAUUUCGGUAUGUAAAGCUCUAUCAGCAGGGAAGAAAAUGACGGUACCUGACUAAGAAGCCCCGGCUAACUACGU
rnacentral:rRNA from 1 species